rnacentral:rRNA from 1 species
UACGUAGGGGGCGAGCGUUGUCCGGAUUUACUGGGCGUAAAGGGCAUGCAGGCGGUCGGACGCGUUUCGGGUGACAGCGGGUGGCUUAACUACCCGAGUGGUCGAAAGACGGUUUGACUUGAGGACGCGAGAGGGACACGGAAUUCCGGGUGGAGUGGUGAAAUGCGUAGAGAUCAGGAGGAACACCGAAGGCGAAGGCAGUGUCCUGGCGCGUAACUGACGCUGAGGUGCGAAAGCCAGGGGAGCGAACGGG